rnacentral:rRNA from 1 species
GAUGAACGCUGGCGGCGUGCCUAUUACAUGCAAGUCGAGCGAACGGACGAGAAGCUUGCUUCUCUGAUGUUAGCGGCGGACGGGUGAGUAACACGUGGAUAACCUACCUAUAAGACUGGGAUAACUUCGGGAAACCGGAGCUAAUACCGGAUAAUAUUUUGAACCGCAUGGUUCAAAAGUGAAAGACGGUCUUGCUGUCACUUAUAGAUGGAUCCGCGCUGCAUUAGCUAGUUGGUAAGGUAACGGCUUACCAAGGCAACGAUGCAUAGCCGACCUGAGAGGGUGAUCGGCCACACUGGAACUGAGACACGGUCCAGACUCCUACGGGAGGCAGCAGUAGGGAAUCUUCCGCAAUGGGCGAAAGCCUGACGGAGCAACGCCGCGUGAGUGAUGAAGGUCUUCGGAUCGUAAAACUCUGUUAUUAGGGAAGAACAUAUGUGUAAGUAACUGUGCACAUCUUGACGGUACCUAAUCAGAAAGCCACGGCUAACUACGUG